GGGCUCCUUCGGGAGCACCGGCGGACUGCUCAGUAACACGUGGACAACCUACCCUCGGGUGGGGGAUAACCUCGGGAAACUGAGGCUAAUACCCCAUAGGCCUCGGAUACUGGAAGGUUCCGAGACCGAAAGCUCCGGCGCCCGAGGAUGGGUCUGCGGCCUAUCAGGUAGUUGGUGGUGUAAAGGACCACCAAGCCUACGACGGGUACGGGCCCUGAGAGGGGGAGCCCGGAGAUGGACUCUGAGACACGAGUCCAGGCCCUACGGGGCGCAGCAGGCGCGAAACCUUCGCAAUGCGCGAAAGCGCGACGAGGGGAGCCCGAGUGCCCUUCCUUUCGGGAGGGCUUUUCUGGAGCCUAAAAAGCUCCAGGAAUAAGGGCUGGGCAAGACGGGUGCCAGCCGCCGCGGUAAU
rnacentral:rRNA from 1 species